GACGAACGCUGGCGGCGUGCUUAACACAUGCAAGUCGAACGGAAAGGCCCUGCUUUUGUGGGGUGCUCGAGUGGCGAACGGGUUAGUAACACGUGAGUAACCUGCCCUUGACUUUGGGAUAACUUCAGGAAACUGGGGCUAAUACCGGAUAGGAGCUCCUGCUGCAUGGUGGGGUUUGGAACGUUUCGGCGGUUGGGGAUGGACUCGCGGCUUAUCAGCUUGUUGGUGGGGUAGUGGCUUACCAAGGCUUUGACGGGUAGCCGGCCUGAGAGGGUGACCGGCCACAAUGGGACUGAGAUACGGAGAAGACUCAUACGGGAGGCAGAAGUGGGGAAGAUUGAACAAUGGGCGGAAGCCUGAUACAGCAACAACGCGUGCGGGAUGACGGCCUUCGGGUUGUAAACCGAUUUCGCAUGUGACGAAGAGUGAGUGACGGUAAUGGGUAAAGAAGCACCGGCUAACUACGUG
rnacentral:rRNA from 1 species